CAGUCGCCGCGGUAAUACGUAGGUGGCAAGCGUUGUCCGGAAUUAUUUGGCGUAAAGGGCUCGCAGGCGGUUUCUUAAGUCUGAUGUGAAAGCCCCCGGCUCAAACGGGGAGGGUCAUUGGAAACUGGGAAACUUGAGUGCAGAAGAGGAGAGUGGAACUCCACGUGUAGCGGUGAAAUGCGUAGAGAUGUGGAGGAACACCAGUGGCGAAGGCGACUCUCUGGUCUGUAACUGACGCUGAGGAGCGGAAGCGUGGGGAGCGAACAGGAUUAGAGACCCGCGUAGUCCCUGUCUCUUAUAC
rnacentral:rRNA from 1 species